UUAUGGUGGGCGACUCUAAGGAGACUGCCGGUGGACAAACCGGAGGAAGGUGGGGAUGACGUCAAGUCAUCAUGGCCCUUACGGCCUGGGCUACACACGUGCUUCAAUGGUCGGUACAAAGGGUUGCCAAGCCGCGAGGUGGAGCUAAUCCCAUAAAACCGAUCGUAGUCCGGAUCGCAGUCUGCAACUCGACUGCGUGAAGUCGGAAUCGCUAGUAAUCGUGAAUCAGAAUGUCACGGUGAAUACGUUCCCGGGCCUU
rnacentral:rRNA from 1 species